rnacentral:rRNA from 1 species
AGAGUUUGAUCCUGGCUCAGAUUGAACGCUGGCGGCAUGCCUUACACAUGCAAGUCGAACGGUAACAGGUCUUCGGACGCUGACGAGUGGCGAACGGGUGAGUAAUACAUCGGAACGUGCCCAGUCGUGGGGGAUAACUACUCGAAAGAGUAGCUAAUACCGCAUACGAUCUGAGGAUGAAAGCGGGGGACCUUCGGGCCUCGCGCGAUUGGAGCGGCCGAUGGCAGAUUAGGUAGUUGGUGGGAUAAAAGCUUACCAAGCCGACAAUCUGUAGCUGGUCUGAGAGGACGACCAGCCACACUGGGACUGAGACACGGCCCAGACUCCUACGGGAGGCAGCAGUGGGGAAUUUUGGACAAUGGGCGAAAGCCUGAUCCAGCAAUGCCGCGUGCAGGAUGAAGGCCUUCGGGUUGUAAACUGCUUUUGUACGGAACGAAAAAGCUCCUUCUAAUACAGGGGGCCCAUGACGGUACCGUAAGAAUAAGCACCGGCUAACUACGUGCCAGCAGCCGCGGUAAUACGUAGGGUGCGAGCGUUAAUCGGAAUUACUGGGCGUAAAGCGUGCGCAGGCGGUUAUGUAAGACAGAUGUGAAAUCCCCGGGCUCAACCUGGGAACUGCAUUUGUGACUGCAUGGCUAGAGUACGGUAGAGGGGGAUGGAAUUCCGCGUGUAGCAGUGAAAUGCGUAGAUAUGCGGAGGAACACCGAUGGCGAAGGCAAUCCCCUGGACCUGUACUGACGCUCAUGCACGAAAGCGUGGGGAGCAAACAGGAUUAGAUAC